rnacentral:sRNA from 2 species
UCAAUAGAAGGCUAGGGUUCCGGCUACACAAACAAUUGUAGUGUCUGGUCCGAGAGCUUUCGACCUUGACAGUUUCAAGGUUACACGGCGGGGAAAAAGCCCGGGAGAC